AUGUGUGGCUACUGGGAAAAUGAAUCAACCAAAAAGGGAAGUCAGGCUGCUGGGCUUGGGCGGCGGCGGUCCCAAGGCGCCAGGCUGUUGCGGAGUGUGGGUGGGUGGUGCGAAGGUGGCGCAGCCACGGGGGGUGGGGGCAUGGCUCCGGGGAUGGUCUGGGUGGACCUGGAGGUGACAGGAUUGGACACUGAGAAAGACCAGAUUAUGGAGAUGGCCUGUCUGGUGACUGACUGAUCUUAAUCAGGUCCCAACCCGAUUAUACAAUAACCAAAUGAACUGCUGGACAGCAGGUCCGAUGGUGUAAGGAGCAUCAUGCGAAGUCUGGUCUUACCAAGGCAGUGGAGGGGAGUACAAUCACAUUGCAGCAGGCAGAGUAUGAAUUUCUGUCCUUUGUACAGCAGCAGACCCCUCCGGGGCUCUGUCGGCUUGCAGGAAAUUCAGUUCAUGCAGAUAAGAAGUUUCUUGACAAAUGUGUGCCACAGUUCAUGAAACAUCUUCAUUAUAGAAUAAUUGACGUGAGCACUGUUAAAGAACUGUGCAGACGCUGGUAUCCAGAAGAAUAUGCAUUUGCACCAAAGAAGGCUGCUUCUCACAGGGCCCUUAAUGACAUUAGUGAAAGCAUCAAAGAGCUUCAGUUUUACCAAAAUAAUAUUUUCAAGAAAAAAACAGAUGAGAAGAAGAGGAAAAUUAUAGAAAAUGAGGAGAAUGAGAAGACAGUGAGUUGA